AAUGGCCAAAGGAUGGGUAUAAAACAUUGAGUUCGAGGGAAGAGGAAGGGAAGAGAAACCAGAGGGGGGGCAGAUGAAGAACCAUGACAAAAGGAUGGAGAAAGAGGUCAACGAUAACUCGUCUAGCAAUUGAACAGGGAAAAAAUGGGGAUCUCACUUCUUAGAAGGAAAAAAUUCUUCCAUGACUGGGGAAGUGGCCUUCAGCAAAGCCAUACCUAUCUUGGGAGUUAACUACAAGAAGCAAAAUCCUCCAUGACAGGGGAAAAAGUGGCCCUCAAAAAGGUCUAUCUUGUCUUAGGCGUUAACCACAUAAGACCUAAAUAGGGGGCGAUAGGGUCUUAAAUCCCUAAAAAAAAGAGAAAAU
rnacentral:lncRNA from 1 species